rnacentral:tRNA from 1 species
GGGCGGGUAGCCUAGCAGGACCAGGGCGCAGAGAAUCGCGAGCCUGAGGUCGUGGGUUCGAAUCCCACCCCGCCCA